GCUCAGGAUGAACGCUGGCGGCGUGCCUAAUACAUGCAAGUCGAACGAGUUCUCGUUGAUGAUCGGUGCUUGCACCGAGAUUCAACAUGGAACGAGUGGCGGACGGGUGAGUAACACGUGGGUAACCUGCCCUUAAGUGGGGGAUAACAUUUGGAAACAGAUGCUAAUACCGCAUAGAUCCAAGAACCGCAUGGUUCUUGGCUGAAAGAUGGCGUAAGCUAUCGCUUUUGGAUGGACCCGCGGCGUAUUAGCUAGUUGGUGAGGUAAUGGCUCACCAAGGCGAUGAUACGUAGCCGAACUGAGAGGUUGAUCGGCCACAUUGGGACUGAGACACGGCCCAAACUCCUACGGGAGGCAGCAGUAGGGAAUCUUCCACAAUGGACGCAAGUCUGAUGGAGCAACGCCGCGUGAGUGAAGAAGGCUUUCGGGUCGUAAAACUCUGUUGUUGGAGAAGAAUGGUCGGCAGAGUAACUGUUGUCGGCGUGACGGUAUCCAACCAGAAAGCCACGGCUAACUACGUGCCAGCAGCCGCGGUAAUACGUAGGUGGCAAGCGUUAUCCGGAUUUAUUGGGCGUAAAGCGAGCGCAGGCGGUUUUUUAAGUCUGAUGUGAAAGCCCUCGGCUUAACCGAGGAAGCGCAUCGGAAACUGGGAAACUUGAGUGCAGAAGAGGACAGUGGAACUCCAUGUGUAGCGGUGAA
rnacentral:rRNA from 1 species